CCAACAAAAAAACACUGGCCGGCAUCUGACUUCCUGGUUCCGUUCCCUGCGAGCAGCAGCGGCGCAUGGGAGCGGAACUGGGCGGCAAAUUCAAAA